AGAGGAUGCACGAGUAUGCUGAACAUGGACUGGCCGCACAUUGGCUUUAUAAGGAAACCGGAAAUCCUUUUUCAUCCGUAGACAGAAUGGAUACACCUGAAACAGAUGCAUCCUCAUCCAUAGACAAAAUGGAUGCACCUGAAACAGAAGCAUCCUCGUCUAUAGACAGAAUGGAUACACCUGAAACAGAAGCAUCCUCCUAUUUUUCCAAAGACACAGAAGCGGAAAAUUCUUCAGAUAUUUUACUGAGCAAGAAUAAGUCAUUGAAGGCUGGACACCCGGUCCUUAGAGUAGAAGGAAGUCACCUACUUGCUGCUGUUAUCAUC
rnacentral:lncRNA from 1 species